rnacentral:rRNA from 1 species
GAUGAACGCUAGCGGCAGGCUUAACACAUGCAAGUCGAGGGGCAGCAUGACACGGAGAUUCGUCGAAGUGUUGAUGGCGACCGGCGCAAGGGUGCGUAACGCGUGAGCAACUUGCCCGUUUCUGGGGAAUAACCGUUGGAAACGACGACUAAUACCCCAUAGUAUCAGAUGGAGGCAUCUUCAUCUGAUUAAAGAAAUUCGGAAACGGAUAGGCUCGCGUGACAUUAGCUAGAUGGCGGGGUAACGGCCCACCAUGGCGACGAUGUCUAGGGGUUCUGAGAGGAAGGUCCCCCACACUGGAACUGAGACACGGUCCAGACUCCUACGGGAGGCAGCAGUGAGGAAUAUUGGUCAAUGGUCUGACGACUGAACCAGCCAUGCCGCGU